GAUGAACGCUGGCGGCGUGCCUAAUACAUGCAAGUCGAGCGAACAGACGAGGAGCUUGCUCUUCUGACGUUAGCGGCGGACGGGCGAGUAACACGUGGAUAACCUACCUAUAAGACUGGGAUAACUUCGGGAAACCGGAGCUAAUACCGGAUAAUAUAUUGAACCGCAUGGUUCAAUAGUGAAAGACGGUUUUGCUGUCACUUAUAGCUGGAUCCGCGCCGCAUUAGCUAGUUGGUAAGGUAACGGCUUACCAAGGCAACGAUGCGUAGCCGACCUGAGAGGAUGAUCGGCCACACUGGAACUGAGACACGGUCCAGACUCCUACGGGAGGCAGCAGUAGGGAAUCUUCCGCAAUGGGCGAAAGCCUGACGGAGCAACGCCGCGUGAGUGAUGAAGGUCUUCGGAUCGUAAAGCUCUGUUAUUAGGGAAGAACAAAUGUGUAAGUAACUAUGCACGUCUUGACGGUACCUAAUCAGAAAGCCACGGCUAACUACGUG
rnacentral:rRNA from 1 species